CAAAUUUUCACUUUGUAUUCUACAAAAGUCUUUGAAUAUUAUUCUCUUUACAAAAUGGAACCUUACAAAAAUACUGGCAAUUUAAUGUUUUUAUACAGUUUUCUCUAGUUGCAGUUAUUUCUUUCAUUGUAAAAACAUCUACCACAGAACUACGGUAUUUUAGUUGAUAUUAAAAAAAAUUAAACUUGAUGCUUUUUUUAAGCAGCUAAUGUAAAUAACACAGGUCGAGACACAGUUUAUAAUCAUAGUGGAUAUAGCUAAAAUUGUUUCAGCAAAGGUUCAGUAGAAGCGGUCCCUGACUGCUGCCUCAAGUGGGACCUUGCUUGGAAGGACACUUAUGGAGAGA
rnacentral:lncRNA from 1 species